AUGGUCAUGGAUGCACUACUUCAGUUACUAAUUCUUCCGAUUCUACUAAUUCAAUGUGAUGAUUUUCAUGUACAAAUCAACGGACUUAACAACCAUGAUGACAUAAAAUUGAAUGUUGUAAAAAUUAAGACCUGGCAUAUAUCAUGCACUGAUUUAAACCCAGAAUCUGCAAACAAGGAAGGGGAAAUCUGUAACUCUUACAAAGAAUGCGGAUUCAGUAAAACUACAGAAUUAAAGCAUACAGAUUGCGAAAUAAAAGAGAAAAAUGGGAAGUUGUCCAUAUCCUGCAAUGAAUGUAAAGAUGAAGGUUGUGGAUGGAAAAGCAACAAAAAGUUUAACAAUAUAAAACAUGCCAGUUGCAGAGAAAAUUUCAAAGAAAAAAAUUCCACAGACAUAAAUACAUGGAAGGAUGUUACAAGUGCUGCCUUAUAUCUGAACGGUACCAGAGAGCAUUUAACGCUCUAUUUGGAACGUACAGAGGGCACUGAUGGAGAAAACAAAGACGAACAAAAAGACCCAUAUGACAAUUCAAGUAAGAAGAAUAUUGAACCCACUGCUCCAACUAUUACAGAUUUCUCUGUCAAGAACAUUUCAGCGGGUGAAAUUAUCAUUAUAGUCCUCUGCAUCAUUAUACUUAUACUACUGGUAAGUAAAUCAAUGUUAUUUUGGCACAAUUACUUGUUGUUUCCUACAUUAUAUGUU
rnacentral:lncRNA from 1 species